UGCCAGAUUUAGCAACAUUUCAGAUAAACAAGGAAACCUUUUUUAAAGUAUAAGUAUAUCCCAUGCAAUAUUUGGGACAUACUUAUACUAAAAAACUAAUUGUUGUUUAUCUGAAAUUCAGAUUUAAUUGG
rnacentral:miRNA from 1 species